rnacentral:rRNA from 1 species
CUUGACACUGAACAUUGAGCCUUGAUGUGUAGGAUAGGUGGGAGGCUUUGAAGCGUGGACGCCAGUCUGCGUGGAGCCAACCUUGAAAUACCACCCUUUAAUGUUUGAUGUUCUAACGUUGGCCCCUUAUCGGGGUUGCGGACAGUGUCUGGUGGGUAGUUUGACUGGGGCGGUCUCCUCCCAAAGAGUAACGGAGGAGCACGAAGGUUAGCUAAUCCUGGUCGGACAUCAGGAGGUUAGUGCAAUGGCAUAAGCUA